GGCUCGUUGGUCUAGGGGUAUGAUUCUCGCUUACGGUGGGAGAGGUCCCGGGUUCAAAUCCCGGAUGAGCCC
rnacentral:tRNA from 2 species